CCUACGGGUGGCAGCAGUGGGGAAUUUUGGACAAUGGGGGCAACCCUGAUCCAGCCAUGCCGCGUGUCUGAAGAAGGCCUUCGGGUUGUAAAGGACUUUUGUUAGGGAAGAAAAGGCAUUUGCUAAUACCAGAUGUUGAUGACGGUACCUAAAGAAUAAGCACCGGCUAACUACGUGCCAGCAGCCGCGGUAAUACGUAGGGUGCGAGCGUUAAUCGGAAUUACUGGGCGUAAAGCGAGCGCAGACGGUUAAUUAAGCCAGAUGUGAAAUCCCCGAGCUUAACUUGGGACGUGCAUUUGGAACUGGUUAGCUAGAGUAUGUCAGAGGGGGGUAGAAUUCCACGUGUAGCAGUGAAAUGCGUAGAGAUGUGGAGGAAUACCGAUGGCGAAGGCAGCCCCCUGGGAUAAUACUGACGUUCAUGCUCGAAAGCGUGGGUAGCAAACAGGAUUAGAUACCCCGGUAGUC
rnacentral:rRNA from 1 species